AAUAAGACGCAGGGGUGCUGGAAUCGGCCGGCUGAGAUUGUAUCCCAUAAAGAUACUGACCCUUACACCUGAUCUGGAUAAUGCCAGCGUAGGAAACCGUACGGAUACUAUCG
rfam:Paenibacillus sp. HGF7 contig00074, whole genome shotgun sequence.